rnacentral:misc_RNA from 1 species
CCUAGAGUUGUAGGCUUUGCCUGCUAUCUCUUACCCAUGUCUUUUGAGUACCUACGUUUCCUCGGUGGGUUCGCCCACCGAUUGGACAAACUUAAACCCUUUGCAGUUGAAUCAGCGUCUGAAAAAGAACCUUAAUAGUUA